CAUGGUGAAACAUGAUUUAUCAAUAAGUAGUGAUAAAAAGACAUCACAAGAGGAACUGACAAUAAAUGAAAACACACAAUACCCUCCAUGUUAUUUAAUAUAAUACAAAUCAGGUGUCAGAACAAAACUUCAUUUGCCACAAAUUUGGAGAGUGCCAUCAAAGUAUUAAACAUCAUUGAAUUUUUGGUAGCAUCUUUAUUAAGAACAAGAAGCACUCAUCACUUAGUAAGAUGUGUAUCAUAAUCAGAGCAAGACAAUUAAUCAGAAGUGGAAUAAACAAAAAAUAAACUGAAGAAAGAGAAAAAGGUUUUAAUCAUAAAAUGCAUUAAUCUGUAUGACAAUGUUAUUUUCCUGAAUGGACUACUUGAUAAUGAUGUAAAUUGUAUUGCAGUCUAUCCCUCUUAGUAAAGCAAACAAAUAUAGAUUUCUUAUUCUUAGCAUAACAAUUUACAGGCAGAAUCUUUAAAAUUCAUAAUCUCUUUUGCAAUAGUGCUUUCUGGGUCUAACAAAUUACAAGUUCAUUUUAAUGUAUUCUAGAGAGAUGCUGAACAUGGAAUAAUAGAAUUUGUCUUCAAUAUGAAACUAUAAAAUAGUUCUGAAAGCUACUAAAUGGUCUUAAUUCAAAUCUGAAUCAAUCAAGAUCCAAAUUACAAUUAUACAAAUGUCAGAUCUGGCAUUAGUGGGAAAUAAAACUGUCUUGCUCUGAGGUGUUCAUCUUGUAGUGAUGUUCAGAUUGGUUACAUAGGUAAAUCAACAACAAAAUAUCACAUUUCAAAUGUUCAAUAGAUAAUUUCCUAUAAUAAAUUUGCACAUGUAAAUCAAAAGCAACAGCCAGCCAACAAAGAUGGCAACCAACCUUGUGUCCAGGGACAGCUAACCAAUUACAUUGUGUGUCAGCUAUCACCAGUGAUGAGCCAUAUACAACUAUCCAAUGAUGAGUCCAGCACCAAAACAUUUGUUCCAACAUACAUCAGCCAUGUCAUCAUUGAGAAAUAGCCUGGUCUACCACAACAAUCGGCCAUCUAAAACCAUGACCAGCUGUGUUCAGCCAUAUAAAACCAUGACCAGCUGUGUUCAGCAAUCCAAAAA